CUCAGAGUGAACGCUGGCGGUAGGCCUAACACAUGCAAGUCGAACGGCAGCACAGGAGAGCUUGCUCUCUGGGUGGCGAGUGGCGGACGGGUGAGGAAUACAUCGGAAUCUACUCUGUCGUGGGGGAUAACGUAGGGAAACUUACGCUAAUACCGCAUACGACCUACGGGUGAAAGCAGGGGAUCUUCGGACCUUGCGCGAUUGAAUGAGCCGAUGUCGGAUUAGCUAGUUGGCGGGGUAAAGGCCCACCAAGGCGACGAUCCGUAGCUGGUCUGAGAGGAUGAUCAGCCACACUGGAACUGAGACACGGUCCAGACUCCUACGGGAGGCAGCAGUGGGGAAUAUUGGACAAUGGGCGCAAGCCUGAUCCAGCCAUACCGCGUGGGUGAAGAAGGCCUUCGGGUUGUAAAGCCCUUUUGUUGGGAAAGAAAUCCAGCUGGCUAAUACCUGGUUGGGAUGACGGUACCCAAAGAAUAAGCACCGGCUAACUUCGUGCCAGCAGCCGCGGUAAUACGAAGGGUGCAAGCGUUACUCGGAAUUACUGGGCGUAAAGCGUGCGUAGGUGGUCGUUUAAGUCCGUUGUGAAAGCCCUGGGCUCAACCUGGGAACUGCAGUGGAUACUGGGCGACUAGAGUGUGGUAGAGGGUAGCGGAAUUCCUGGUGUAGCAGUGAAAUGCGUAGAGAUCAGGAGGAACAUCCAUGGCGAAGGCAGCUACCUGGAC
rnacentral:rRNA from 1 species